CGGCGAUGCGGCCGUCGCCAAGCGAUCCAGCAAGGGGAAGGAUGACGGGAUGACUCCAAGCGAUGGCCAACAGAUAAGGACCGCGUGCAGUCUAGGGCCACACCACUACAAUUGCGGUGGUCGCUGGAAAAGGAAGAGGAUUCGGCUCACCGAGGAAGAGGACAGUUGCAAGUCGGAGAGUAAGAGGCCGACUAGGCGGAUUCUCUUCGCACUCCUCGGUACAAACUACAGAGCUCCUCCACGAAACCGUCCUCUUUCUCCUGUGCCCAGCAGUGAUCGACGAUAAUCCGGAGGGCGCACAAGUACCUCGAGUCCCAGAUCAUCCCCACGGUUGGUCGAGCCGUUGGAGUCUUAGUUCAGAAAGAGGUCAUGAGAAUAAAAAUCACCACAUACAGGGCUUUGAAAAGAACUGCCUGGCGCUCUUAGCGACAAUGCAUGGAAUCCAAAAAAAAAUGUCUAGAAAUUUUUGCAUAUGGAGACAAUGUCACACAUCGAGAAAGAAUCAGUACCGGUAAACAUGAUGGUUUGGUUGACAAAAUGUUGUUCUUUUUCCCUGCCGGUGAAGCAGUUAAGCAGGUCUUGCCAAGAGGAUUAACAACGUUGAUUCUGCAAGUGCUUGGAUAUAACGGGGGUAUCAGUUCUCUAUUUUUUACGUGUUUGUUUAUUUUCUUUGUGAAACCUUAGCAUGCACUAGCUUAGUCGAAAGCCGCGCAGAAUAAUAUAUGCUCUUUCUUUCAAUGCAGAUCCAACAACGCCUUUCUUACUAGAUUUUAUGUUAUGUAACUCCGUAUGUUCUAGCAGAGAGGCACCCAAAGGAGAGAAGUAGAAGUCAAGUGAGAACAUAAUACAGAUGUGAGUUUUCUAAACCAUAAGUGCAUAUGCCCAGUGGACAUAUAUACAUGUCUUCCAUAAUACGCUGAGAUUUUGCAAAGAUUCCAUGUGGAACAGCUGUACAGUUAAUUGGUGAUGCUUGACCUGCAUGUUCAGUAUAUAGAUUAACAAAAUGGAGUGAUUUGUCACCUUCUCUAUUGUAGAUUGAUUGUAUAUUACUGCUAAGGGUUAGUAGUGGAUGACAAUAUCAUAAACAAAGUGCUCCUGAUGAUUAUCAAAGGCUUGGCUUAAACAUGUUUACCCAGCUUUCACAUGCGGCGACCUUGCUUCCGGCCUAUCACGGCGACUCCCCCAUCCUGAAGGUCUUGGCUGUCAGUGGAUGGGAUC